rnacentral:rRNA from 1 species
UACGAAGGGGGCUAGCGUUGCUCGGAAUUACUGGGCGUAAAGCGCACGUAGGCGGAUUGUUAAGUCGGGGGUGAAAUCCUGGAGCUCAACUCCAGAACUGCCUUCGAUACUGGCGAUCUCGAGUUCGGGAGAGGUGAGUGGAACUGCGAGUGUAGAGGUGAAAUUCGUAGAUAUUCGCAAGAACACCAGUGGCGAAGGCGGCUCACUGGCCCGAUACUGACGCUGAGGUGUGAAAGCGUGGGGAGCAAACAGG